rnacentral:rRNA from 1 species
GUAGGUGGCAAGCGUUGUCCGGAAUUAUUGGGCGUAAAGCGCGCGCAGGCGGUUCUUUAAGUCUGAUGUGAAAGCCCACGGCUCAACCGUGGAGGGUCAUUGGAGACUGGAGAACUUGAGUACAGAAGAGGAAAGCGGAAUUCCACGUGUAGCGGUGAAAUGCGUAGAGAUGUGGAGGAACACCAGUGGCGAAGGCGGCUUUCUGGUCUGUAACUGACGCUGAGGCGCGAAAGCGUGGGGAGCAAACAGGAUUAGAUACCCUGGUAGUCCACGCCGUAAACGAUGAGUGCUAAGUGUUAGGGGGUUUCCGCCCCCCUUAGUGCUGCAGCUAACGCAUUAAGCACUCCGCCCUGGGAGUACGGCCGCAAGGCUG